AGCGGCGAACGGGUGAGUAACACGUGAGUAAUCUGCCCUUGGCUUUGGGAUAAGCCCCGGAAACGGGGUCUAAUACCGGAUACGACCAAUCUCUGCAUGGAGUGUUGGUGGAAAGUUUUUUCGGCCAGGGAUGUGCUCGCGGCCUAUCAGCUUGUUGGUGGGGUAAUGGCCUACCAAGGCUUCGACGGGUAGCCGGCCUGAGAGGGUGACCGGCCACACUGGGACUGAGACACGGCCCAGACUCCUACGGGAGGCAGCAGUGGGGAAUAUUGCACAAUGGGCGGAAGCCUGAUGCAGCAACGCCGCGUGAGGGAUGACGGCCUUCGGGUUGUAAACCUCUUUUAGCAGGGAAGAAGCGUGAGUGACGGUACCUGCAGAAAAAGCACCGGCUAACUACGUGCCAGCAGCCGCGGUAAUACGUAGGGUGCAAGCGUUAUCCGGAAUUAUUGGGCGUAAAGAGCUCGUAGGCGGUUUGUCGCGUCUGCUGUGAAACCCCGAGGCUCAACCUCGGGCCUGCAGUGGGUACGGGCAGACUAGAGUGCGGUAGGGGAGAUUGGAAUUCCUGGUGUAGCGGUGGAAUGCGCAGAUAUCAGGAGGAACACCGGUGGCGAAGGCGGUUCUCUGGGCAUUACCUGACGCUGAGGACCGAAAGUGUGGGGAGCGAACAGGAUUAGAUACCCUGGUAGUCCACACCGUAAACGUUGGGCGCUAGGUGUGGGACUCAUUCCACGAGUUCCGUGCCGCAGCUAACGCAUUAAGCGCCCCGCCUGGG
rnacentral:rRNA from 1 species